CCUACGGGUGGCAGCAGUGGGGAAUAUUGCACAAUGGGCGCAAGCCUGAUGCAGCCAUGCCGCGUGUGUGAAGAAGGCCUUCGGGUUGUAAAGCACUUUCAGCGGGGAGGAAGGCGGUGAGGUUAAUAACCUCAUCGAUUGACGUUACCCGCAGAAGAAGCACCGGCUAACUCCGUGCCAGCAGCCGCGGUAAUACGGAGGGUGCAAGCGUUAAUCGGAAUUACUGGGCGUAAAGCGCACGCAGGCGGUCUGUCAAGUCGGAUGUGAAAUCCCCGGGCUCAACCUGGGAACUGCAUUCGAAACUGGCAGGCUAGAGUCUUGUAGAGGGGGGUAGAAUUCCAGGUGUAGCGGUGAAAUGCGUAGAGAUCUGGAGGAAUACCGGUGGCGAAGGCGGCCCCCUGGACAAAGACUGACGCUCAGGUGCGAAAGCGUGGGGAGCAAACAGGAUUAAAUACCCCGGUAGUC
rnacentral:rRNA from 1 species